AAAAACUAGUUAAUCUAUAACGAAAGAAUGUCAUUCUUUUAUAACCAAUAAAGGUGUUUUUU
rnacentral:tRNA from 1 species